rnacentral:lncRNA from 1 species
ACCCACACUGGAAGACACAGGCAUUUCAAUUUCAAUGCUAUCUAUCACCCUGACCCUAACCCUAACCCUAGCCCUAACCCUACCAGAACAAUAAGUCAUCCUCAAGGACCGCUAUUUCUGCACUAUCCAUGACCCUUACGAAAAGAAGAACCCUAACCCUAACAAUCAUACCCACACUCCAAACGUCAGGUACAUGAAUUGGAACCCUAAACCUAAACCUCCUCCUAACCCUAACCCUAACCCUAAGGCGCAGGACCAAAUCACAAUACCCAGGUGCUUGACAUUUGACAUUAUCCCUCCCGCUCCCCACGAACUUACGCUAAUACUAACUUUCCAACCCACACUGGAAGACACAGGCAUUUCAAUUUCAAUGCUAUCUAUCACCCUGACCCUAACCCUAACCCUAGC